CUAGCUACAGGCUAACACAUGCAAGUCGAGGGGCGAGCAUGUUGGUUGCUUGCAACCAAUGAUGGCGACCGGCGCACGGUGAGUAACGCGUAUCCAACCUUCCCCUUAGUAGAGGAUAGCCCGGCGAAAGUCGGAUUAAUACUCUAUGUUCUCCAAUGCGGACAUCUAAGUUGAAGCAAAGAUUUAUCGCUAAGGGAUGGGGAUGCGUCUGAUUAGGUUGCAGGCGGGGUAACGGCCCACCUGGCCUACGAUCAGUAGGGGUUCUGAGAGGAAGGUCCCCCACACUGGUACUGAGACGCGGACCAGACUCCUACGGGAGGCAGCAGUGAGGAAUAUUGGUCAAUGGGCGCGAGCCUGAACCAGCCAAGUAGCGUGCAGGGAACCGACUCGCCCUAGUUGGGUUGACAAACUGUCUUUUAUCGAGGGAAAUAAAGUGAGGCACGCGUGCCUUUUUGUAUGUACCUGAUGAAUAAGGACCGGCUAAUUCCGUGCCAGCCGCGGC
rnacentral:rRNA from 1 species